GGGCCGGUAGAUCAGUGGGAGAUCGCCCGCCUUGCAAAAGGGUGGCCGAUAAGGUUCAAAUCCCGCCCGGUCCA
rnacentral:tRNA from 1 species